GGUGCAAGUGGAUUAUCCACUUGUGUGAGCAUUAAAUGAAGGAAUAGCUUAAGGAGCAAGUUUAUGCUUUUAACAAAAGAAUUUCUCUCUCGCUCCUCCCCUCAAAACUCACGCCUCUCUCUCUACUCUCUCUCCCUCUCACUCUUUUCUCUCUCUAUCACCAUUGUUAAUUAAACUCUAAGCUUCAAAGAUCAAUUUUAUACCUAGAUCUCGACCUAAAAUCAAAUCAAAAUUCAUUUCCCAUUAAUCAAGACCAAGGUUGAUGGAGUUUCAAGCUUGAAGUCAAGAGAGAAGAUUUUUAUGUCUAUUCAAAAUCAUUGAGUAUGAGCAAAGAACGGGAGUGAGUUCACCCCAAGUGUUACGAGAGUGAGCUAAGAUCAUCAGGUGGGCAUUACUUCUACUAUACGUAUAUAGAGAUCCCCUGCGUAUCGUAGGCCUCUUAUACGAAUAUAUGCAUGAUAUUAUUUAACUGUUAUUUUCAGUUUUAUGAAAUGUUGAAAUGAUGAAUGGCUCUUAUGAAAUGAAAUGUUUAUGAAAUGAAAUGAAACGUUUAUGAAAUGAUUGUCUGCCAAGAAUGUUUAUGUUUUACGUAUGUGUCCUAUUUGUGUUGAUUCGCCAACUUUAAAGGAAAUCCAAUUGGGACCCUAUGCUAGACAAAGGUAUGCUAGUACGGGUUAACGUGUACACUCAUGGAGACCGCGAGUCACUUGUGACCAGUCUUGGCAUUCGUGGAAGGAGGCCUCCUUACCGGCCCGUGACAGAAAAUGACAGAUAUGGAACAUAUGAAAGGAAAAUGAUCGGCCGAUCGACUUUAUGAAAAUCAAAUAAAUGUUUUAGUAAACACAGGUCUUUCAAGAAAACCCCUAUGUGUUACUGUUUGGCAGUACAAAUUAUAUAUGUGUAUGCAUGUUUGUGUUUUCGGCAUGUGCCCACUGAGUAUUUUUAUACUCAGCCCUGCAUGUAUUUUUAAAUGUGCAGGUUGAGCAGCUGAUGGAAUGGAAUGGUGUUGAGCGGGUGUUCCUUUGUCAUUUCAAGAAAUGUAACCUUGAGUAUACAUCUUCAUAUGUAUAUCUCACACGUAUUCCGCUGCGAAACACUUUGAUUAUGGUAACUCUAUGUUAUGAAUAGGGGUGUAAAAUCGGGUACCCGCGAGUACCCUACCCGCAAAAUGGCGGGACAAAAUCGCCCGAAACCUCCACCCUCACCCGACCCGCCUGCAUGCCGUGGGUACCCGAAUACCCGCUGCGGGUAUGACGGUACCCUCGAUUUCCCGCAAUUUCUUAAUUGGUUUUAAUUGUGCGGGUAUUUUGUCCCGCUGGAGGGUAUUUGUCCCGCUGGAGGGUAUUUCUUAUCCCGCAAUGUGCGGGUACCCUCUUUACCCGUAGGAAUUAUUUUAUAAAUUAAUUACCAUUCAAAUCAAUUUGAACUCAAUUUUAAAAUAAAAGUUACUUUUUUAAUAUAGUAUAGAUAAAUAUAGAAUUGUGACAGUACGAAGAACUAAACUGAAAUUAAUUAUUAAAAUCUACCUAAUCAAUUAAAGCUCCAAACAUAUGUUUGAAAUAUUGGAAUGCUUAGUAAAUGCAUCCAAACGUAUAAUUGAAAUAUUCUCACAUUUUUGUACUCGCAGUCUAUGUUUUUUUUUUUUGAAACCGUACUCACAGUCUAUUAAAUGCAUAUAUAAAAAUUAAAUUAAUUCAUAAGUAUAAAAAUGAUUAAACUAAAAAUUUAAUUUGCGGGUAUGCGGGUACCCGUCGGGGUAUCCACGGGUACCCGAUACCCACAUUUUUUUAGAAACUAAUACCCGCACCCGACCCGACCCUCCACCCGAAUUUUGCGGGUAUCGGGUACCCGAUACCCGCGCGGGUAUCGGGACGGGUGAGGGUAUACCCGAUACCCGCAACCCGAUUUUACACCCCUAGUUAUGAAGUCAAUGCAUUCGUUUUUGGGUAAUCCAUCUCAAUUAGGUCAUCCUUAUGUGAAUGUUUUGCAAGUAUUUGAAUGAUCAAAUAUGAUCCUAGUACUUUCUUUUAAUGUCAUAUUUUCUCAAAA